AGGCUAAUCAAGCCCGGAGAUAGCUGGUUCUCCUCGAAAGCUAUUUAGGUAGCGCCUCAUGUCUCACCACUGGGGGUAGAGCACUGUUUCGGCUAGGGGGUCAUACCGACCUACCAACCCGAUGCAAACUCCGAAUACCAGUGAGUGCAAUCAUGGGAGACACACGGCGGGUGCUAACGUUCGUCGUGGAGAGGGAAACAACCCAGACCGCCAGCUAAGGUCCCAAAUAUCAGUUAAGUGGGAAACGAUGUGGGAAGGCUCAGACAGCUAGGAAGUUGGCUUAGAAGCAGCCAUCUUUUAAAGAAAGCGUAAUAGCUCACUAGUCGAGUCGGCCUGCGCGGAAGAUUUAACGGGGCUAAACUGAUAACCGAAGCUGCGGACGCAUACUUGUAUGCGUGGUAGAGGAGCGUUCUGUAAGCCGUUGAAGGUGCAUUGUAAAGUGUGCUGGAGGUAUCAGAAGUGCGAAUGCUGACGUGAGUAACGAUAAAGCGGGUGAAAAACCCGCUCGCCGGAAGAUCAAGGUUUCCUGUCCAACGCUAAUCGGGACAGGGUUAGUCGGUACCUAAGGCGAGGCCGAAAGGCGUAGUCGAUGGAAAACAGGUUAAUAUUCCUGUACCGCUAUAUACUGCGAUGGGGGGACGGAGAAGGCUAGGUGAUCAGGGCGAUGGUUGUCCCUGUACAAGCUUGUAGGGAGAUCUCUUAGGUAAAUCCGGGAGAUCAUUAUCCUGAGGAGUGAUGUCGAGCUCAAUUGCGAGCGAAGUCAUUGAUGCCAUGCUUCCAAGAAAAGCCUCUAAGCUUCAGGUAUAUAGAGACCGUACUCCAAACCGACACAGGUGAUCAGGUAGAGAAUACCAAGGCGCUUGAGAGAACUAUGGUGAAGGAACUAGGCAAAAUGGUGCCGUAACUUCGGGAGAAGGCACGCCGAUUUUGGUGAUGGGAUUUACUCCCUAAGCUGAGGUUGGCCGCAGAGACCAGGCCCCUGCGACUGUUUAUCUAAAACACAGCACUCUGCAAACUCGUAAGAGGAAGUAUAGGGUGUGACGCCUGCCCGGUGCCGGAAGGUUAAUUGAUGGGGUUAGCUUCGGCGAAGCUCUUGAUCGAAGCCCCGGUAAACGGCGGCCGUAACUAUAACGGUCCUAAGGUAGCGAAAUUCCUUGUCGGGUAAGUUCCGACCUGCACGAAUGGCGUAAUGAUGGCCAGGCUGUCUCCACCCGAGACUCAGUGAAAUUGAACUCGCUGUGAAGAUGCAGUGUACCCGCGGCAAGACGGAAAGACCCCGUGAACCUUUACUAUAGCUUGACACUGAACAUUGAGCCUUGAUGUGUAGGAUAGGUGGGAGGCUUUGAAGUGUGGACGCCAGUCUGCAUGGAGCCGACCUUGAAAUACCACCCUUUAAUGUUUGAUGUUCUAACGUUGACCCGUAAUCCGGGUUGCGGACAGUGUCUGGUGGGUAGUUUGACUGGGGCGGUCUCCUCCUAAAGAGUAACGGAGGAGCACGAAGGUUGGCUAAUCCUGGUCGGACAUCAGGAGGUUAGUGCAAUGGCAUAAGCCAGCUUGACUGCGAGCGUGACGGCGCGAGCAGGUGCGAAAGCAGGUCAUAGUGAUCCGGUGGUUCUGAAUGGAAGGGCCA
rnacentral:rRNA from 1 species